GACCUCUCAUUCAUAGCCUAGCACAAUCUGCUUCCUUUAUUACCAUGUUCUCCAAAUUUUACUGCCCCCUCCUCCCCAUUAAGUAUGCUGUGCCAUUUUGCUAACCUAACUUCCCUCAGGGGAAUAUGAGACUGAUGUCCACACCAAGCCUAUGCAAAGUCUUGCAUAUGGCAGCCUCUACUUGUUUCUUAGUGGUGUGGGCCAGGCCCCAAUUGUACUGAAGCCUCCUUUGUGUCUUCAGAGUGCUCCUAGGACGUGAGAAGGUAUGCAUAAAUGUAAGAUAGAGGUUUAUUUAUGUUGCUGUAGCCAUAUGUUGAAGGCCAACAUGACUCAUGGCAGGCAGGGUGAAACUGUAAUGGUCUUUCAGUGGCUUUUUUUUUCUUUUAAAGCAAAGUUUAUAUAAAUAGUUUCUUUUUUUGUAUGUGUGUUUGUUUCUCAUUUUUACACCAAUCCCUAGAACAAGUGUUAAGAAUAGAAAAUAAAAUAAGCCAAACCCAAAAAAACAAAGCCUCAAUGUUUUCUCUGAUAAGCAGAUGCUGAUCUAUAAAGUGGGGUGGGGGAAAAUGAAGGAACCUUGGAUUGG
rnacentral:lncRNA from 1 species